rnacentral:rRNA from 1 species
AUGCUCGACCGCCACCUCGCCCCGCAGCUGCCCUACGUCAAGUCGCUCUUCCUCGGCUGGUUCGAGCCGCUGCGCGACGCCGUCGCCAGGGACCAGGACGUGCAGCGCCGCAAGCGGGUCAAGCACGUCUACGCCAAGUACCUGCUCCUGCUCCCCGCCGAGAAGGUCGCCGUCAUCGUCAUGCACAAGAUGAUGGGCCUCCUCAUGUCCAGCAAGGACGGCUGCGGCAGCGUCCGCGUCGUCCAGGCCGCGCACUCCAUCGGCGAGGCCGUCGAGCGCGAGUACAAAGUCCAGGCUUUCUUUCAGAAGACUAGGAGAAAAACUAGGAGCAAAACUGAAAGUGAAAAUGAUCCAGCAUUAGACAAGGAACAGGCAAAAUGCCGGAAACUUGUUAAGAGUUUGGUGAGGAGGAGGAAAUUGACUGAAGCACAGAAGCUUGUGCAACAGGAGAUUGAAUUGGAGGAGUGGGGCACAGAAGCCCAAGUGAAGGUUUGUUUUCCAGAUAGCAUACCUACAAUUACAGAGUUUUGUCUCAUAUGUUAUGGAAGGAGACUAAAGAAGAAGCACUUCGUGAUAGAGUGUGAUCCUCUUGUGCAUGAGGGGUUUGAAAGCACUGCUAGACACGUGGAGAUACCCUAUCUUCCUAUGCUAGUACCUCCUACAAAAUGGAAGGGCUAUGAUAAAGGCGGACACCUUUUUCUGCCUUCGUAUGUUAUGCGGACACAUGGUGUGAAGGACCAGAAGGAAGCCAUUAAGAGUGUUCCAAGAAAACAGCUGCGAAAAGUAUUCGAGGCAUUAGAUAUCCUUGGGGGUACUAAAUGGAGAGUGAAUAGACGAGUACAUGACGUUGUUGAGACUAUUUGGAGUCGUGGUGGGGGUAUUGCAGGACUUGUUGAUAAGGGAAAUAUUCCUCUACCUGAACAACCUGAAACAGAAGACCCAGAUGAAAUCCAGAAAUGGAAGUGGAGCGUAAAGAAGACAAAGAAAGCUAACCGUGAACUGCAUGCUGAGCGAUGCGAUACAGAACUAAAACUCUCUGUUGCUCGUAAAAUGAGAGAGGAGGAUGGCUUCUAUUAUCCUCAUAAUCUAGAUUUCCGUGGUCGUGCAUACCCUAUGCAUCCACAUCUGAGUCACCUAGGUUCAGAUCUAUGCCGAGGUGUUCUAGAGUAUGCUGAAGGGCGGCCACUCGGAAAAUCUGGUUUACGCUGGUUGAAGAUACAUUUGGCUAACAAAUAUGGCGGAGGCAUUGAAAAGCUUUCUCAUGAGAGCAAACUAGCGUUUGUGGAGGAUCAUUUGCCUGAUAUAUUUGAUUCAGCAUCAAAUCCUGUUGAUGGGAACUGUUGGUGGAUUAAUGCCGAGGAUCCAUUUCAAUGUCUAGCUGCAUGCAUGGAUCUUUCUAAGGCAUUAGAAAGUUCAUCACCUCAUGGUGCUGUCUCUCACCUACCUAUUCAUCAGGAUGGUUCAUGCAAUGGGUUACAACACUAUGCCGCUCUUGGAAGAGACUAUAUGGGCGCGGCAGCUGUCAACUUGGUUCCUGGAGAGAAACCUGCAGAUAUCUACUCAGAAAUAGCUGCUAGGGUAUUGGAUGUUGUACGGGAAGACUCAAUGAAAGAUCCUGCUACUGACCCAAGUGUUCCAUUAGCAAAGGUUUUAGUUGAUGAGGUGGAUAGGAAGCUGGUCAAGCAGACAGUGAUGACGUCAGUUUAUGGUGUCACAUUUAUCGGUGCUCGCCAGCAAAUUAUGAAGAGGCUUCAAGAGAAAGGACACAUUACAGAUGACAAAUUGCUCUAUGAUGUGUCCUGCUAUGCUACCAGGAGACAAGGACAUGCUGUAACUGUUGUUUCUCUGAUGAAGGUAACUUUGGAUGCACUAGGACAAAUGUUCCAAUCUGCCCGUGCUAUAAUGGCAUGGCUUGGUGACUGUGCAAAGAUGAUUGCUUCAAAAAAUCAACCAGUCAGAUGGACGAGUCCUGUAGGUCUUCCAGUUGUGCAGCCAUACAAGAAAUAUAAAAACUAUAUGAUACGAACUUCUUUGCAAUGUCUGGCUUUACGACGGGAGGGUGAUGCAAUUGCAACCCAACGGCAAAAGGCAGCUUUUCCACCGAAUUUUGUCCAUUCUCUUGAUAGUUCACAUAUGAUGAUGACGGCAAUUACUUGCAAGGAGGCUGGUCUUCAUUUUGCAGGGGUGCAUGACUCAUUUUGGGUGCAUGCAUGUGAUGUCGAUAAAAUGAAUCAGAUCUUGAGAGAGCAAUUCGUGGAGCUGUACAGCAUGCCAAUCCUUGAAAACCUGCAUCAGCAGAUUAUUCUCUAA